rnacentral:rRNA from 1 species
CGGCGGACGGGUGAGUAACGCGUGGGUAACCUGCCUCAUACAGGGGGAUAACAGUUGGAAACGGCUGCUAAUACCGCAUAAGCGCACAGUACCGCAUGGUACCGUGUGAAAAACUCCGGUGGCAUGAGAUGGACCCGCGUCUGAUUAGCUAGUUGGUGGGGUAACGGCCUACCAAGGCGACGAUCAGUAGCCGACCUGAGAGGGUGACCGGCCACAUUGGGACUGAGACACGGCCCAA